rnacentral:rRNA from 1 species
UACGAAGGUGGCAAGCGUUACUCGGAAUUACUAGGCGUAAAGGGCAGGUAGGCGGUUUGGUUAGUCUGUUGUGAAAGCUCCUUGCUUAACGGGGAGAGGCCAACAGAUACUGCCAGGCUUGAGUAUAGGAGAGGGUACGUGGAAUUCCCGGUGUAGCGGUGAAAUGCGCAGAGAUCGGGAGGAACACCAAUGGCGAAAGCAGGUACCUGGACUAUUACUGACGCUCAGCUGCGAAAGCUAGGGAGCAACAGG